rnacentral:rRNA from 1 species
GUGAGUAACACGUGGGCAACCUGCCUGUAAGACUGGGAUAACUUCGGGAAACCGAAGCUAAUACCGGAUAGGAUCUUCUCCUUCAUGGGAGAUGAUUGAAAGAUGGUUUCGGCUAUCACUUACAGAUGGGCCCGCGGUGCAUUAGCUAGUUGGUGAGGUAACGGCUCACCAAGGCAACGAUGCAUAGCCGACCUGAGAGGGUGAUCGGCCACACUGGGACUGAGACACGGCCCAGACUCCUACGGGAGGCAGCAGUAGGGAAUCUUCCGCAAUGGACGAAAGUCUGACGGAGCAACGCCGCGUGAGUGAUGAAGGCUUUCGGGUCGUAAAACUCUGUUGUUAGGGAAGAACAAGUACAAGAGUAACUGCUUGUACCUUGACGGUACCUAACCAGAAAGCCACGGCUAACUACGUGCCAGCAGCCGCGGUAAUACGUAGGUGGCAAGCGUUAUCCGGAAUUAUUGGGCGUAAAGCGCGCGCAGGCGGUUUCUUAAGUCUGAUGUGAAAGCCCACGGCUCAACCGUGGAGGGUCAUUGGAAACUGGGGAACUUGAGUGCAGAAUAGAAAAGCGGAAUUCCACGUGUAGCGGUGAAAUGCGUAUAGAUGUGGAGGAACACCACUGUCGAAAGCGGCUUUUUUCCCCUGUAUCUGACGCUGAUGCGCCAAAUACUGACGAGCAAACCGCAUUAGAUACUCGGGGUACCCCACGCCCCUCUACGAUGAUUGCCUGC